rnacentral:lncRNA from 13 species
AUGAGGUUGCCAUAUCAUCAAACGUUGACAAGUGAUGCUAUUCUAUCAAUUUUCCAUUUCACUUCAAAGAGGAUGCUAUCAGCCAACAUCAGCGCAGCAGAAAAGAGGAUGUCUGUCUCCUGUUUGACCAGAAGGAUGAGAGGAUGGAGGGACAUGUUUAAAAAAAGAGAGAAUGUGCAACAACAUGAGGAGAAGACAAGCAGCCAGAGAAGACGUCAAGAAGAAGAAACCACACCAGUAUGUAUCAGUCUAAUCAUGGGAGACAAUCUGAAACAUGAUCUACAUCAAUCAGAUGAGAGGCUUUGGCGAGAGAAGGCUGAACACGACACACACACACACACAAUUUUAUUUCACCAAUUUGUGUUAAAUCAUGCUAAUCUCUCCAUUAGUCCUAUGAAAGGUAUGGACAUUAUUCACACCAUUAUGAGAAUGCUACAUAUAUUGAGGACCUGGGACGGUAAGGUUCUAUCAGGAAUUUUGUCCAAAUUGAGCUAUUGCCUUGUUCUGGUCAAUGUUCUCUACCUAUAUUGUACUGUAAAUACCCCAAUGUAUGUUAAGUUUAAAACAGUACAAAAUAAACAUUGGAACUUCAAAGACAAUUAUCUCAGAAUCAUCUUUUUGCAGAUAGAACCUUGUAGUCCCCAGCUCUCGAUACGUUUAAUGACUUCCCUAGGGGUGGAUCUCCUUAGAUGAUUCAAUCAUGCUCUUCUAUUGAACAGCCAGUUCUCAGGACCAUUACCAUAGCCAUUACCCUUCCAUAGAUCACACCUCUAGGUGCUUAGAUACAGAGCACAUAAGCAGACAGACCCCUGACUGUGCACUCUGGGGGAGAGAGAAAAAAAAAGAGAGAGAGAGAGAAAAACAUCACCUACAGAGAGAUGAACCUGGAGAAGAGUCCCCUAAGCAAGCUGGUCCUGGGACUCCGUUCACAAACACAAACAGAACCUGCAAAGCCCCAGGACAGCAACACAAUUAGACCCAACCUAAUCACGAGAAAACAAAAUGAUAAUCAUUUGACACAUUGGGAAGAAUUAACAAAAAAACUGAGCAAACUAGAAUGCUAUUUGGCCCUAAAGAGAGAGUACACAGUGGCAGAAUACCUGACCACUGUAACUGACCCAAACUUAAGGAAAGCUUUGACUAUGUACAGUCUCAAUGAGCAUAACCUUGUGUAAGAAUAGCUUAAGAUAAUACACAACUCAGAGGACUAAAGAUCAAGAGGGAAUUAACGAUCAAUGGAAAUAGUGUUUUUUUCUGUAAUAGGGAAUUAAUGAUCAAUGGAUUAGAGACAUGGGAGGAAUUUUUCUAUACAUUGAGCCUGAAACAGGAUACUUGUUAUUUGGUCUAAGUGGUGAACCACAGGCUAGGGAGGGGUUAUAAAUUACAUCCUGUCACUUUGU